rnacentral:rRNA from 1 species
UACGUAGGGGGCAAGCGUUGUCCGGAUUUAUUGGGCGUAAAGAGCGUGUAGGCGGCUUUACAGGUCCGUUGUGAAAACUCGAGGCUCAACCUCGAAGCACGCCGGGUGGAAACCGUAAAGCUAGAGUCCGGAAGAGGAGAGUGGAAUUCCUGGUGUAGCGGUGAAAUGCGCAGAUAUCAGGAGGAACACCCGUGGCGAAAGCGGCUCUCUGGGACGGUACUGACGCUGAGGCACGAAGGCCAGGGGAGCAAACGGG